UGGGAAACGGGUUAAUAUUCCCGUACUUCUUACAAUUGCGAUGGGGGGACGGAGAAGGCUAGGUGGGCCUGGCGACGGUUGUCCAGGUUCAAGUGCGUAGGCUUGAGAGUUAGGUAAAUCCGGCUCUUUCUAAGGCUGAGACACGACGUCGAGCACCUACGGGUGUGAAGUCAUUGAUGCCAUGCUUCCAGGAAAAGCCUCUAAGCUUCAGAUUGUAAGGAAUCGUACCCCA
rnacentral:rRNA from 1 species